ACAGAGACUCCCAACUGCAUCACUGCUAAAGAUUGCUCAACUUAUCCAGUUCAAACAUUAUAAUUCAGGUGAGUAUGUUGUUCGAGAAGGAGAAAUUAAGUAUGGAAUUUACUUCAUCUGGCAGGAUUGCUUGAGAUGUGAGCAUCGGGUGUUGAAGAAGGUAUGCUUUCCUUACUAACAACUCUUAUGUAGUAUUAUAUUUUUCUCACCUCUCAGUUGAUAUUUUUGUUAGUACUGUAGGAGGCAGCCUGGGGUUUAUCCAACAUAGCAGCAGGUACUCCUGCUCAUAAGAAGUUGAUAUAC